AGAACGAACGCUGGCGGCAGGCCUCAAACAUGCAAGUCUAGGGGGUGUAGCAAUACAUCACCGGCGGACGGGUGCGUAACACGUGGGAAUAUACCUUUUGGUUCGGAACAACUGAGGGAAACUUCAGCUAAUACCGAAUGUGUCCUUGCGGAGAAAGAUUUAUCGCCAAAGGAUUAGCCCGCGUUCGAUUAGCUAGUUGGUAGGGUAACGGCCUACCAAGGCGACGAUCGAUAGCUGUUCUGAGAGGAAGAUCAGCCACACUGGGACUGAGACACGGCCCAGACUCCUACGGGAGGCAGCAGUUGGGAAUCUUGGACAAUGGGGGAAACCCUGAUCCAGCCAUGCCGCGUGAGUGAUGAAGGCCUUCGGGUUGUAAAACUCUUUCGACGGGGACGAUAAUGACGGUACCCGUAGAAGAAGCUCCGGCUAACUUCGCGCCAGCAGCCGC
rnacentral:rRNA from 1 species